UGGGGAAUCUUGCGCAAUGGGCGAAAGCCUGACGCAGCCAUGCCGCGUGAAUGAUGAAGGUCUUAGGAUUGUAAAAUUCUUUCACCGGGGACGAUAAUGACGGUACCCGGAGAAGAAGCCCCGGCUAACUUCGUGCCAGCAGCCGCGGUAAUACGAAGGGGGCUAGCGUUGCUCGGAAUUACUGGGCGUAAAGGGAGCGUAGGCGGACAUUUAAGUCAGGGGUGAAAUCCCGGGGCUCAACCUCGGAAUUGCCUUUGAUACUGGGUGUCUUGAGUAUGAGAGAGGUGUGUGGAACUCCGAGUGUAGAGGUGAAAUUCGUAGAUAUUCGGAAGAACACCAGUGGCGAAGGCGACACACUGGCUCAUUACUGACGCUGAGGCUCGAAAGCGUGGGGAGCAAACAGGAUUAGAUACCCUGGUAGUCCACGCCGUAAACGAUGAUUGCUAGUUGUCGGGAUGCAUGCAUUUCGGUGACGCAGCUAACGCAUUAAGCAAUCCGCCUGGGGAGUACGGUCGCAAGAUUA
rnacentral:rRNA from 1 species